AGGAGCCAAAAGCCAAUCUUCUCCUGAUCAAAACCAGAAACCACCAUCCGAGUUGCAAAAUUUGAAAUUGGUCAUCUAUUAACAUGGUGGUGCUCUACAAAUUGAAGGCACUCACCCUCCUCAGAUUGGGUUACCCGCAAUCUUCUUCUUCCAUAUUAAAACUAUCUGUCGUUGGAGAUGUGAAACCCUCACAUUUUCCUCUUCAGAAUCUGCUGCUCUGCAGACAUUUCAACUCAGAAAUCUCAGAAACCCACCACGAUUUCACUGUCAAUUACCUCAUAAACUCAUGCGGGCUGUCCCCAGAAGGUGCGAUUUCAACAUCCAAGUGGGUUGAGUUGCGAUCCCCCAAAACAGCAGACUCCGUUCUGUCCUUUCUCAGAAACUAUGGAUUCUCUGAGACCCAGAUGUCGAAGAUGGUCAGGUCAUGCCCACAUCUUCUCCAAUUGCAUCCGGAGAAAACCCUUCUGCCAAAGCUUGAGUUUUUCGCUUCGUUCGGAGUUUCAAAGAAGGACCUUGCAACAACACUGCAAUAUGAACCGAAGCUUUUGGCCAUGAGCUUGGAGAAACGGAUUAUACCCACUUAUGAUUUCCUUAGGAGUAUGCUUUCUCAGAAAAAGGUCGUUUCGGUUUUCAGGCAUGGCUCGUGGAUUCUCGUGGAAGGCCACUCCAAGAAGGUUGCGCCAAAUAUUAAGGUUUUGAGAGAAUCAGGGAUGCCCCAGCACUGCAUUUCUAUGAUGCUUACUUGUCAUCCCAGAGCUUUAAUACUAAAGCCUAAAGAUUUUGGUCAACUUGUGGAUGAGGUUAAGCAAAUGGGUUUUAACCUGCAAAAAUCAACUUCUGUGAUGGCAAUAAACGCAUUGUGUGCUGCCAAUAGGUCUACAUGGAAUCGAAGUUGCGAAUUUUAUAAGAGGUGGUGUUCGGUUGUUAAAGUUUUGUUGCUGAAAGGAUUGAUAAACGGGAUUGAAAAUGUGAGUUUGGGUUCUGUGUUGGUGCCUCCGGAGAAGUGCUUCUUGGAGAGGUUUGUGGCCAGAUAUACAGAUGAAGUACCUCAGUUAUUGAGUGUGUAUCAAGGAAGAGUUGAAGUCCAGGAUGUAUGAGGUAUGUACGUCAAACGAGGUUAGAUAUUCGUUAUAAUUUGAGACGCCUUGUUGUAGUAUCGUAGAUGCAGUGCUGUUCAUUUCCAAUGGUAGCAGCUAACUUUUGGCUCAGCAUUACUGGUGGCUAGCCUCUGUUUAGGGGCAAUUCGAGGGUGCAAUAUAUGUAAUGGAGGUCGUACCCAGUGCACAAGGCUCCCGCUUUACGCAGGGUCUGGGAGAGGUGAAUGUCGGCUAGCCUUACCCCCAUUUUAUGGAGAGACUGCUCCCGAGUUGUAAUGCAGUUUCAUUAGAGUUGUUACCCAGACCCUGCGUAAAGCGGGAGCCUUGUGCACUGGGUACGACUUUUUUUUUAUUUUUUUUUAUUUUAAAGAAAAACCAGAUGCUGAACAAGAAUUUCUCAGUGAGUUACUACCAUUUAAUAUGGUAUUGAUUAAUAUUUCUCUGGAAGAGUCAUGGCCAAGAAAAAAA